rnacentral:misc_RNA from 1 species
AACCACUCACGCCUAGCGUGGUAUUGGGGCACGCGGUCUCCGCGGCCCUCAAAAUUAGUGGCGGCGCCGGUGGGCUCUAAGCGUAGUAAUUCUCUCGCUAUAGGGUCCCGGCGGUUGCCUGCCAGAACCCCCCAUUUUUUAC